UACAGAGGUCUCGAGCGUUGUUCGGAUUCAUUGGGCGUAAAGGGUGCGUAGGCGGCGGGGUAAGUCUGAUGUGAAAUCCCGGGGCUCAACCCCGGAACUGCAUUGGAUACUGCUCUGCUUGAGUACUGGAGAGGAGACUGGAAUUUACGGUGUAGCAGUGAAAUGCGUAGAUAUCGUAAGGAAGACCAGUGGCGAAGGUGAGUCUCUGGACAGUUACUGACGCUGAGGCACGAAGGCUAGGGGAGCAAACGGG
rnacentral:rRNA from 1 species